UAUAUACAUACCUCAGAAAUUUACAUGUUCAAAGAAAUUCGAAUGAACAAAGUUGAAGUUGAAAAAAAUUGUUUUUAAAGCAAAAUUACUAUACGUAGUUGUUGUGCAGCAGCAACGGAAUAAGUAAACAGGACACAAGAACUCGAUCGUGAACCAGAACCAGCUGCAGGACGAGGCACAAAAUGGUGUUGUUCUUCCUUUUGUUGGCAAUGGAAAUUUUCAACAUGCUCAAGUUUAUCUUUCUUAUACGUGAUGUACGUGUUGUACACGGCCUUGGCAAUGAGAAUGACGUCGAAGGGGAAGCACCGGCCGGUGGUCGUGGCUUUUGGGAAUCAGCGAGCCGGCCUGCGGACGGCGAUGAGGAGCAGACAGACGAGGAAUACCUUGAUGGGAUAAAUCAACACCUUCUACAUUUUAUAGGCCUGCUGUUUUCGGCCAGGAGGCCUUUUUAACCGAACACUAACUGUUGUGGGAGUCCAGUACAAACGAUUUGUGUGCCCACAACUGAGAAAAACACAAGACGCAAUACAACUCAGUAGCAUAGUCUUUGACAACAAUUACGCAGCCUUCAUUAAACUAAUUAAAUUAGCAGUUAAAAGCGCUUGAAAGACAAACUUUUAAAGAUUGCACUGGACAGAGGACAUUUAAUAAUGCACAGCUGGA